UCCAGUGUGACUCCAUGCAGGGGAAAGCCAGAUAUUAACCAUGAUUGACCUGCUCUUGCCCUGGAACUUUAAGGGUAAGAAAAGUUUGUCUGAUUCCACGAGUCCAGUUGAGGAAAUGGGUCUUCAAAGGUAACACAAGGGGGACGUCUGGGAUCAAUCUGCCUGUAUCGCCGGGGUCGUGGAGAGGAGUCAGGGCAUACUCAAGCAGCACAGGGUGCAGGGCGGGAACCGGCCCUGGACGGAGUGCCAGUCCAGCGCAGCUACAGAGGGACUGUGAGAUGUCUCAGAAAGGCCAGACUGGAACGUGCACAGCAGACAGAUGAACUGGAGCAGCUCUGGAGCAGGGCUUCGUCUUCGCAGAUGAGCCCUGCGACCCGAAGUCGUGUUCGUCGUAUCCGAAGAGUUUCAGGACUGCGCUCUUCUCUGCGCUUAUCGGAAGCGGCUCGGAGGGAGAGGUGCUGGUGAAGGAGAUAAUCCCUACUGAUUCCUGGAAGCUGCGCAGAUACCUCCUCCACCCGAGGCUGUCUCGGCUGCACACCGGUCCCAUCCUUGCACCGGGUGGCUCUUACAACAGGGUUGCGUAAACUCCAGGAGUUGACCAGAUCAUCUUAGCUCUGCUGCAGCUCUUAUUGUAAUAUAUUAUUUCGUUUAUUGUCGUGCAAAUAUUUCACUUUUAUUUACUGAAGCGGUACAGAACGCGUGAGCCGAUUGGCCACCAGUGCCUGACAGUCGUAGCGAGGUGGGAUGCUGUGGUGUCAAGCACGUUGACGGUGAUGAGCUGAAAAUGUUGUUGGAAAUGAACUGCUACACCGUUCCCACUGUUAUGUAUUUCAGAUCUUUCCAGAGCAUAAAUCUAUCGUUCCAAACAUGCAGUUUUCAGGGAAUGCUACAGCAAAGCUUCUAGGAUCUCCUCAUUGCAAAAUAAUUCUGAAGGGUGCUUGUUGGGAUUCUCUUUGAGUGACCCUGUCAUGGGUAACAGAUUAGAUAAGGAGCUCUUCCCAAUCUUUUUGUACAGGAUUCUACGUUUCUUGCUGCUGAGUUUGUCUGCGCCCUCUCUCUCUCUCUAUUCAGUGAGCACUGAAACAGCAGUAUGACUCCACCUCCAGAGAAGAAGAAAAGCCUUUCAGUGAGGUUGCCAUUUGAAGCCUCUAUUCUCUGUGGCACGAGCCUGCCGGGUGAUGACACAGCUUCUGUGAUGUCUUUGUAUCGCUCUUAUCCUUUUGUUUUGGUCCUAUAUGCAUUAAAAAUAAGGAAACAGUCAUGGGUGACGUGCCUGUUG